AUCUUUAGACCAUUUUUGUGGAUGGUGGUGGUGGUGAUGACGAAGCCCGGGGGGGCACUCCCAUAUAGAAUGGACUGGGUGCUCGUAGGAAAUUUUGAAAAGAACUCCUGAGAGGUACUAAGACCAUGUUUUGUGGGCGUGGCCUGAAAUGUUUUUCACCAAUUAUAAAACAACACAUAAACUGACACUGACUUUUUUCGGCUCGAUAUACAGGUAUACCCUAAAAGGAAAGUGCGAAAGCUCCUGCUGUGGCAGUAUGUUUGUGACCGAGUGAGACUGGAUGAGAAUGCAACCUCGUCCCCAGGGCCUUCUCCUCGACGAUUUUCAAAAUGGCGGCUAUCAAAAUGGUGGCCAGCAGCAGUGUGAUCAAUACGAGCAAAAUUAUCGCUCAUUAUUUCGGUAAAUACAAAACGUCCAGUCAGUCUCCUGGCUUAGAAGUAAGCUAGUAGACACUGAUGAUUCUUCUUCUACUGGCAUUGGUGAAACGGAUGUGUUCAACAAGAAAGGCAAUUGAUCCACAGUGUACCAAGAGAAUGGAUCGCAUUUGAGGUAUUUGAAAUCAUGCUAAGAUUGACAGAGAGGCAACCAACUGCAUGGCAAAUGGGUUCCAUUCUGAGAUACAUGUAAGAAAGAGACAAUGAAAAGAGCUGCACUGUGCAUGUACUGAGAUCAACUGGUAUGGAGAGACAAUGGACAAGAGAUGUAUGGUAUGGAGAGGUGUGGAGAGGGAUGAUGGUCCCAUCCAAGGUUGGAAAAGUACAGUCAAGCAACAACAAAAUUAGUUGAAUGGUAAUAAAGGCUGAGAGGGAAAUUAUUAAUCACAUACAGUUAGUACCUAGCCUAUGGACUCCAUUGUGAGGCAAGUUGUUAGAGACAUAGAUCACAUGAUCAAGGACCGUGGACCCAGAACGAUCCAGGAUAGAGGACCCACCCAGGACAGAGGACACAGUACAGAGGACAGAGGACCAAGGACUCAGAACAGAAGAUCAAGGAGCAAGGAUAGGACUGACGACUGACAACUGGGGAUCAAGGCAAGCCUUGAAUGACAAACUUUCAUAAGUUGAUUUAGAUAUAUUAAGGUAUAUGAGAUAUUACCAGCAGCAGAGUCGGCACAGUGCACCUUGCCCCGAGGGUUUUUCUCCGGGUACUCCGGUUUCCCUCACUCCUGAAAAACCAAUAUUUCUAAAUUCCAAUUAACAAAAUUGGUGACACAUUGCGGUGGGCCAACUGAGAUGAAAAAUUCUUUGAUUAAUUACUCAAGGUAAGCAUUUGUAAUACCAAUUUAUUACUCUCUGUUUAUUUGCUAGUUACACGUGCACAUGUGGUUUCGUGGUCUCCUUUGCACCUGUCAUUUUAGUUAAUGAGCAAAUUGGAAAGAAGCUUUAUUUAUUUUCUGUCUCUUUCAUAGAUCCUUUUUUAAUCAUAGGUAAAGGGAAAUUCCCAAGUGAAUCAAUCAAUCAAUCAACCAACCAACCAACCAACCAACCAACCAACCAACCAAUCAUUUAAUCAAUCAAUCACUCAAUAACUCCAUUAAUAGUUAAGAUAAAAAUCCCAGGAUAUGCAGCUAACUGAAAUAGCAAUUACCAACCUUUAAAUUCAACAUUGUAUUUCAAUACCACGUUGAUGCACAUGUAACUAGUACCCAUGUAAACAGAGUAUUGAACUGACUAGUGUGUUGUGUGGGUGUCGUUCAUUUGCAAAUAAGUGGCUUGCUUGUCACAUUUUCCAUACAGUUCAUUAUAUCGGAGCCAGGAAUUAUGCCAAUAGCAAUCGCUAAAAAUUAACUGAAACUCAGUUAUGGGUAAAUCUGUUUCUGUGAAUUAAAAGUUUGGUAAUUCUUGUUGUAUUUUCAUGCGUAAAGACAUAAAACAAAAAGAGCCGACAUUUUGUUCAAAAUUGCCUUAAAAAGUAAAUUUUCGCAACUAUUAUUGUUGAAUUCAGAAACGGACAAAAAUUUCAAAAACCCAUGCAGAAAAUAAACCAAAAUUAAUCAAUUCAUCAUUCAAUUAGAACUAAUUUAUGAAACGCUCUUUAUAUUAGAAAAGAAACCUAAACUGAACACUCAAUCUAAUUCAAUCAAAGCAAAACUAUUUAGUUCUUAAUUAAUACUCUCUACAUUCCACAUUGUAGUGUUUUUAAUCAGAUGCAACAAGACUUUCACAUGCAUUCUCAAUAUGUAAAGAACUCACAAGAAUAUGACUUUUAGUUUUACGAAUUUGAAAAUGAUGAAUGAGUCAUCAAAAGGUCAUUCAAAGUCAUUAUCGCCAAUUUUUAUUCUUAAUUGUUUGUCCAAAGCCUCCAUUGUGAGAAAAUAAAGUCAAAAUUCAUUUGCCAUUUUAUUUAUUUUUUACACGUGUACAGACAUUUUGAGUGCUCAUUAAAAAUUCUCAUUUUUAAAUUCUAGGAUGCUCUUAAAUGCAAAGCUAAAAAUAUUCCUAUUGAGUUCUAAGGACAAUUUAUUUCAGUUCC